UGGUGGGUAGUUUGACUGGGGCGGUCUCCUCCUAAAGAGUAACGGAGGAGCACGAAGGUUGGCUAAUCCUGGUCGGACAUCAGGAGGUUAGUGCAAUGGCAUAAGCCAGCUUGACUGCGAGCGUGACGGCGCGAGCAGGUGCGAAAGCAGGUCAUAGUGAUCCGGUGGUUCUGAAUGGAAGGGCCAUCGCUCAACGGAUAAAAGGUACUCCGGGGAUAACAGGCUGAUACCGCCCAAGAGUUCAUAUCGACGGCGGUGUUUGGCACCUCGAUGUCGGCUCAUCACAUCCUGGGGCUGAAGUAGGUCCCAAGGGUAUGGCUGUUCGCCAUUUAAAGUGGUACGCGAGCUGGGUUUAGAACGUCGUGAGACAGUUCGGUCCCUAUCUGCCGUGGGCGCUGGAGAACUGAGGGGGGCUGCUCCUAGUACGAGAGGACCGGAGUGGACGCAUCACUGGUGUUCGGGUUGUCAUGCCAAUGGCACUGCCCGGUAGCUAAAUGCGGAAGAGAUAAGUGCUGAAAGCAUCUAAGCACGAAACUUGCCCCGAGAUGAGUUCUCCCUGAGACUUAGAGUCUCCUGAAGGAACGUUGAAGACGACGACGUUGAUAGGCCGGGUGUGUAAGCGCAGCGAUGCGUUGAGCUAACCGGUACUAAUGAACCGUGAGGC
rnacentral:rRNA from 1 species